rnacentral:rRNA from 1 species
CGCGUAGGCGGCCUGAUAAGUAGGGGGUGAAAUCUUGCGGCUUAACCGCAAGGCUGCCUUCUAAACUGUCAGGCUCGAGCACAGUAGAGGCAGGUGGAAUUCCCGGUGUAGUGGUGAAAUGCGUAGAUAUCGGGAGGAACACCAGUGGCGAAGGCGAUCUUCUGGUCUGUUUCUGACACUCAGACGCGACAGCUAGGGUAAGUAAACG